UCCCACAUCCCAUAGCCGCCACGGCCCUCGCCGCUGGCGUGCGUCCCACCACCACCACCUCCCAUAGCUAUCGUUGCCCCCCUUCGCCGGAGCGCCCCCCGCCACCACCACCUCCCAACGCCACCAGCACCACCUCCUCAUCCCCGUGAGCCCACGCCCGUCCCUCCCCAAAAACCCCGCCGCCUUCAUCUCUCCUACACCGGCGCCGCCCUUACCUCGCGUCGGCAACCACCAUCCCUUGCGCGCCGGCCUCCUCCCUACCCCGCGCCCCGUCUGCCUUUCUUCCCGCGCUCCGUCCGUCUUCCUCCCCGCAAUCCGUCCGCCUCCCUCCCCGCGCUCCGUCCACCUUCCUCCCCGAGAUCCGUCCGCCUUCUCCCCUGAUAUCCCAUGGCUGUACGGCCGUCGGCCAACCCCUCCAUCUGUAACUAAGGGCAUUGGGCCGCCCUCCAUGCCGGGGUGGCCCUGCUAGCCAUCAGCGGGGGAAGCGGAGUGGCUUCCAUGGAGGGGGUGCGAACGAGUUCGUCCUAGGCGUGCACAUCCUCGGGAAGUCCAUCUGCAAUAUGGGCACCUCGCUGAGACCUCAUAAUGCUCUUCCCAGACUACUCUCCGAAGCCACUCGAGGUGUAGAAUACAUAGCAGGAUCUGCCCCAGCAAAUUAACCACAUGUCGCCGGAGGCACUCUGCCUCUCCUAUGCACCCCCUGCUUCCAUGUCCCUCCACCACCGCCCUCCCUUAACCCUCUGCAGUUAUUGGCAACGCGGAUGUGGCCCCGCACUGUAUGGACGCGCCGCUAUCGCUCUGUCAUCGCGUAUAGAGAGUUCAACGCCGCAGCCCCCGUCCGUUCAAUCUCGCCGCCAUGGGUGUGCCCCACUCAACUCCCUCGCCAUGCGUAACAAUGCAACCUGCAGGAGGAACCGUGGGGGUCGAGGACGUCCAGCUCGGUAGUCCAACUCGGCAUGAUUCACGUCAUCGUUGGCCCCAUGUUCACUGGCAAGAUCACCUUGCUUCUCCGCCGGCACCGUUAGGUACUCACCCCGUCCCGUCUAUUGCUUAGUGCUUCGUUUUGCGUUGCUAAAAACAAAAAACAAGGAAGUUCAAAUUGAAAAUAAUGAGAAGUUAGACGUUUAAAAAAAUCAGAAGUUAUUUUAGUGAAUCUCUAUUGGAAAUUAGCUCACCUUUUAGUGAAUCAGAAGUGGUUUGUACUUUUUUGCUUGACGCGUGUUCAUGAGCAGUUCAAAACAUGUACUUGUUCCAUGGUUUGCUAUAACACUUGUUAGAUUGCUCUCCAAAAAAAGUCAUGUAUUCGUGAAUUUGCUACUGGUGUAGCAGACCUGUAUGUAUUUUAUCAUCAGUUCAUAAAGAAAAGCCGAAACAGUGUAGUGUGCGUGUUAAAAAAAUAAUUCAGUUUUAUAUUGUUUGGUAGUUUUCACUUCAAAGAAAAUUUCUAACAGUUCGGUCAAAAUAAAGUUUGCAUAGUUUAUACUCGAGAGGUAGUAAUGUUCACUGACAAAAAAGCAUCAGUUCAAAUAUAUAUGCAGGAGGUUGAGAGCCGAAAAACUGAUUUUUUAUGUGUUUAAUUUUUCAGCUGUAAAGAUAGAAAUUUUUCUCUCUUGUCUCUCUUGGUUCUCAGGAAAAUUGGGCUGGGAGUCAACAAGCCGGGCAAAAAUGUGUUGCUACUUCUACAAUAUCAAAGAUGAUGAGAUUCUUGUCUUGCUCGUCGAGGACCCAAUCAUAGGGCAGUCUGUCGCUACUGCAAUGCAUUAGGAAAAGUUCAAGUUUCCUAUUAGAUUUAGUUCUAUUGGAAAAGGGCUGCCCUCACCAUGCUUAUCCUCGUCACUAGAGGGCCUGCGUGCCGGGGUUGAGCCACAGUCGACACUUCCGGUCGUGCCCUACCACUAAUCAAUCUUCUCGCCUAACCCCCUUCCUCCCCGAUCUGCUACUGAUAUACCCCAACUACCACUAGAGCUUCGGGGAGCACUCCUUCGUCCAAGUUGAGCAUUGGGUCCCGUCCGAGUAGAGCACUGCACCCCGUCCAAGUCCCCAUCUAAUUUUGAACGUUCAAUUUUGUCAUGUUGGAAUAAUAUAGCAUUGAGCACCCUACAAUUUUUUUUGCUUGAGCGUUGAGUACAUCCAAAUUUAAUUUUGGAAGGUUCACACAUCCAUAUUAGAGAGAUUCAUCGGACAUAAUUUUGCAAGGUCAGAAAAAGCAAUUGCUCAGUACAUCACAGCAGCUCUUCGAUGCAAAAAUGAUGGCUCUUCACAAGUCAGCAGUUAACCAAAUUGGCAACUUCAGGGUAGCUCAGUCAAAUAUGGCAACUGUGCAGUAAACAGUUUUAGUUGAGAAAUCAGCAAGCGCCAUGCUUAGUCCAACACGGUGGCUUAAGGGUGACCGAGUUUGUCGCGACCAUCAGUUUGGAGACCUGUGUCACCGCGCAUGUCGCUACCAUGGCCUCCUGUGUCACCGCGUGCUCCGUCAACAGCCUCCUGCACAAGGAAAAGCAACAUGAGUAGAGGCGUCUGAGAUGCUCUGUUCUAGCGAGGUGGCUGAUUACGUUAGUUAGUUUGUAAUACUUUGGCCGCAGUGUACUUAUAUAUCUUUUUCUGGACGGAGCAGAUCAGAGCUUAUGUCAGUACGAACUUUGAUUGUGAUGGUACUACAAACUCUAUAAAAACACCAGCAAUCCAUUUUUACUGGUACUUACCUUUUAUACAAUUCACAUGG